GACGAACCGAGCGAACGUUAUUCGGAAUCACUGGGCUUAAAGGGCGCGUAGGCGGGCGGUCAAGUCAGGGGUGAAAGCCCCCGGCUCAACUGGGGUGGGUCACUCGAUACUGAUCGACUUGAAGGCAGGAGAGGGAAGCGGAAUUCCCGGUGUAGUGGUGAAAUGCGUAGAUAUCGGGAGGAACACCAGUGGCGAAGGCGGCUUCCUGGCCUGUUCUUGACGCUGAGGCGCGAAAGCUAGGGGAGCAAACGGG
rnacentral:rRNA from 1 species